AAAUAAGGUGGGUAUGUUUUAUUAACUUUUGAAAAUUUUAUUUUAAAGAUUCAAUGAUUUUAUUAUGUAACUAAAAGUGUUUAAAUAAUGGCAGCAUCAUUAUUAAAUCAAAAAAAAUUAAUAAAAAGAAAGAAAAGAAAAAUAAAAUUAUCAAAACUAGUGUUAAGUUGGAGUUAACUGACGAACAGCUUUUCCAAGCAUGUGGCAGAGUUACUUGUCAUAAG